AACGAACGCUGGCGGCAUGCCUAACACAUGCAAGUCGAACGAGACCUUCGGGUCUAGUGGCGCACGGGUGCGUAACGCGUGGGAACCUGCCCUUAGGUCCGGAAUAACUCCCCGAAAGGGGUGCUAAUACCGGAUAAUGUCUUCGGACCAAAGAUUUAUCGCCUUUGGAUGGGCCCGCGUUGGAUUAGCUAGUUGGUAGGGUAAAAGCCUACCAAGGCGGCGAUCCAUAGCUGGUCUGAGAGGAUGAUCAGCCACACUGGGACUGAGACACGGCCCAGACUCCUACGGGAGGCAGCAGUGGGGAAUAUUGGACAAUGGGCGAAAGCCUGAUCCAGCAAUGCCGCGUGAGUGAUGAAGGCCUUAGGGUUGUAAAGCUCUUUUACCCGGGAUGAUAAUGACAGUACCGGGAGAAUAAGCUCCGGCUAACUCCGUG
rnacentral:rRNA from 1 species